rnacentral:tRNA from 1 species
UAAGUAAAUAGCCUUAGUAGCUUAAUA